AGGAAAAAUUCUUUGCGGAAAAAAAAAAAAACUUGGGUACUGUGAUCUACACAACAAAGGAGAAAAGGUAGCUACCUGCGCCUGAGCACGAUGCAUCGAAGCAGAUUAACGAAGAGGAGAAGAAUUCGCGAGGUUGAGGCGGUUGGGAAGAUGAAUGUCUCCAUUCGUUUGUAAAAAUAGGGUGAAAUUGCAGUUGAAGACUCGAGCAUUGCAAGUGAUGAACAAUGCUGAGGUGCAUUCUGGUUUCUACAAUGAAAAGUAGAGGCUUUAAGGUUUCUGAAGAAGAUGGUUAACACAUGAAAAAUUGAACAGCUGUGGGAUCUAAGUGUGAAUUUUGAGGGGGAGAUAACCUCUAUCAAUUGGUUGUGGGAUCUAACUUCCUCAUAUCCAUGGAAAAUUUCCGAAGUAUGAAACCAUGGUUGAUAUUCCAAAAUUGGUGAGGAUGAAAUCAAUAUAUUACUAUCAUCCUUUAUUUUAUUUGCAUAACUAAAGGAUCUUAUUGGCUUACUAUGAUUGGUCCAGGUAGUUUAAAGUAUGCAUUGAUUUUGCCUUUUGACAAUUCUUGUUAGAGAAUUGGAGAGAAAACUUAACAGAUUUGGAGUGUAAUUAGGAUUAACGAAAUAGAAUAUGUAUAUGAUAAGUAAUCUUAAUAUCUGAAGAUUGCAACGAUUUGUUAAUAAUGAUGUUUGUAUGUUGGGUUGGUAAGUUUUGAUAUCUUCAUGAUGAGGCA